rnacentral:misc_RNA from 1 species
UGUAAGCAUACAACACAUUCUUUGUAAAACUAAUUUCACCCAAGGGAUCGACGCAUAUUGUAAAUACCCCCAUUCGAGCGAAAACAUAGAGAGAUUAAUUACCAUGCUAUCGAGAAACUGAUCAUUUAGUUGUGAGAACGGCAAACAAGAUCGAUACUAGGAGAAGGGCUAGGAUAAUGUAAUUUGAAUUAUACGCUGGACUGCUGCGA